AACUCGGGCAGGUUUUGCAGCAGAGAUUAUCCUUUAGGCACAGCAGUGUGACAGUCUGCCUCGGGACACUUCUGGUCAAAUUUGGGGAUUUGGUCUCGAACUGCAAGGAAAGAUUUAACCUGGAAGCUAUAGCACUCUAACGAAGGCUGUCCAAAGAACUGAGAACCUGGAUGACUUAGCAGUAUGUGUGUAUCCAUUCCUGUUCUGAAUAUCUGGCUUUUGUAAGCUACUUCAACACAGAGCCGGCUGACAAGCAGAAAUGAGCUUACCAGCCAGCCAGGUGCCGGGCAGUGCGUCUGGGCUGUCGUGACUUCUGGUCAAGUGGCUGAGAAACAGGCAUUGCUCGGUGACAUCCCAAAGCAAACCUGCAGGGAAGGCGACAGCGUGGAGUGCAGCCCAUGGCAUGGGUUAUGCAGGGUGACUCCAUCGA